AUUGAACGCUGGCGGCAGGCUUAACACAUGCAAGUCGAACGCGUGGCGGACGGGUGAGUAAUGUCUGGGACACUGCCCGAUGGUGGGGGCUACCUACUGGAAACGGUAGCUAAUACCGCAUUCCAUCGGAUGUGCCCAGAUGGGAUUAGCUAGUUGGUGGGGUAACGGCUCACCUAGGCGACGAGCCCUAGCUGGUCUGAGAGGAUGACCAGAAACACGGGAACGGAGACACGGGCCAGAGUCCUACGGGAGGAAGCAGGGGGGAAGAGGGAACAAUGGGAGCAAGCCGGAGGAAGCCAUGCCGCGUGGAGGAAGAAGGCAGUCGGGUUGUAAAGUACUAGCAGCGAGGAGGCGUUACUCGCAGAAGAAGCACCGGCUAACUCCGUGCCAGCAGCCGCGGUAAUUC
rnacentral:rRNA from 1 species